rnacentral:rRNA from 1 species
GGAAUAUUGGUCAAUGGCCGGAAGGCUGAACCAGCCAUGCCGCGUGCAGGACGAAGGCCCUACGGGUCGUAAACUGCUUUUGCGGUGGAGCAAUAAGGUGUACGCGUACACCGAUGAGAGUACAUCGCGAAUAAGCAUCGGGUAACUCCGUGCCAGCAGCCGCGGUAAUACGGAGGAUGCGAGCGUUAUCCGGAUUUAUUGGGUUUAAAGGGUGCGUAGGCUGUGCUGCAAGUCGGGGGUGAAAUAUCCGGGCUCAACCGGGAGGGUGCCUUCGAUACUGCAGUGCUGGAAUACUGUUGCCGCGGGAGGAAUGAGUAGUGUAGCGGUGAAAUGCAUAGAUAUUACUCAGAACACCGAUUGCGAAGGCAUCUCGCGAAGCAGUUAUUGACGCUGAGGCACGAAAGCGUGGGGAUCAAACA